rnacentral:rRNA from 1 species
UACGUAGGUGGCAAGCGUUGUCCGGAAUUAUUGGGCGUAAAGCGCGCGCAGGCGGUCCUUUAAGUCUGAUGUGAAAUCUUGCGGCUCAACCGCAAGCGGCCAUUGGAAACUGGGGAACUUGAGUGCAGAAGAGGAGAGUGGAAUUCCAUGUGUAGCGGUGAAAUGCGUAGAUAUAUGGAGGAACACCAGUGGCGAAGGCGACUCUCUGGUCUGUAACUGACGCUGAGGCUCGAAAGCGUGGGGAGCAAACAGGA